rnacentral:rRNA from 1 species
UACGUAGGGUGCAAGCGUUAAUCGGAAUUACUGGGCGUAAAGCGUGCGCAGGCGUCUUGCAAGACAGAUGUGAAAUCCCCGGGCUCAACCUGGGAACUGCAUUUGUGACUGCAAGGCUGGAGUGCGGCAGAGGGGGAUGGAAUUCCGCGUGUAGCAGUGAAAUGCGUAGAUAUGCGGAGGAACACCGAUGGCGAAGGCAAUCCCCUGGGCCUGCACUGACGCUCAUGCACGAAAGCGUGGGGAGCAACAGG